GGGUUGUGAGGUUAAGCGACUAAGCGUACACGGUGGAUGCCCUGGCAGUCAGAGGCGAUGAAGGACGUGCUAAUCUGCGAAAAGCGUCGGUAAGGUGAUAUGAACCGUUAUAACCGGCGAUGUCCGAAUGGGGAAACCCAGUGCAAUUCGUUGCACUAUCGUUAACUGAAUACAUAGGUUAACGAGGCGAACCGGGGGAACUGAAACAUCUAAGUACCCCGAGGAAAAGAAAUCAACCGAGAUUCCCCCAGUAGCGGCGAGCGAACGGGGAGCAGCCCAGAGUCUGAAUCAGCUUGUGUGUUAGUGGAACGGUCUGGAAAGUCCGACGGUACAGGGUGAUAGUCCCGUACACCAAAAUGCACAGGCUGUGAACUCGAAGAGUAGGGCGGGACACGUGGUAUCCUGUCUGAAUAUGGGGGGACCAUCCUCCAAGGCUAAAUACUCCUGACUGACCGAUAGUGAACCAGUACCGUGAGGGAAAGGCGAAAAGAACCCCGGCGAGGGGAGUGAAAAAGAACCUGAAACCGUGUACGUACAAGCAGUGGGAGCACCUUCGGGUGUGACUGCGUACCUUUUGUAUAAUGGGUCAGCGACUUAUAUUCUGUAGCAAGGUUAACCGUAUAGGGGAGCCGCAGGGAAACCGAGUCUUAACUGGGCGUUAAGUUGCAGGGUAUAGACCCGAAACCCGGUGAUCUAGCCAUGGGCAGGUUGAAGGUUGGGUAACACUAACUGGAGGACCGAACCGACUAAUGUUGAAAAAUUAGCGGAUGACUUGUGGCUGGGGGUGAAAGGCCAAUCAAACCGGGAGAUAGCUGGUUCUCCCCGAAAGCUAUUUAGGUAGCGCCUCGUGAACUCAUCUUCGGGGGUAGAGCACUGUUUCGGCUAGGGGGUCAUCCCGACUUACCAACCCGAUGCAAACUACGAAUACCGAAGAAUGUUAUCACGGGAGACACACGGCGGGUGCUAACGUCCGUCGUGAAGAGGGAAACAACCCAGACCGCCAGCUAAGGUCCCAAAGUCAUGGUUAAGUGGGAAACGAUGUGGGAAGGCACAGACAGCCAGGAUGUUGGCUUAGAAGCAGCCAUCAUUUAAAGAAAGCGUAAUAGCUCACUGGUCGAGUCGGCCUGCGCGGAAGAUGUAACGGGGCUAAACCAUGCACCGAAGCUGCGGCAGCGACACUAUGUGUUGUUGGGUAGGGGAGCGUUCUGUAAGCCUGCGAAGGUGUGCUGUGAGGCAUGCUGGAGGUAUCAGAAGUGCGAAUGCUGACAUAAGUAACGAUAAAGCGGGUGAAAAGCCCGCUCGCCGGAAGACCAAGGGUUCCUGUCCAACGUUAAUCGGGGCAGGGUGAGUCGACCCCUAAGGCGAGGCCGAAAGGCGUAGUCGAUGGGAAACAGGUUAAUAUUCCUGUACUUGGUGUUACUGCGAAGGGGGGACGGAGAAGGCUAUGUUAGCCGGGCGACGGUUGUCCCGGUUUAAGCAUGUAGGCUGGUUGUCCAGGCAAAUCCGGAUAAUCAAGGCUGAGGUGUGAUGACGAGGCACUACGGUGCUGAAGUAACAAAUGCCCUGCUUCCAGGAAAAGCCUCUAAGCAUCAGGUAACAUUAAAUCGUACCCCAAACCGACACAGGUGGUCAGGUAGAGAAUACCAAGGCGCUUGAGAGAACUCGGGUGAAGGAACUAGGCAAAAUGGUGCCGUAACUUCGGGAGAAGGCACGCUGGUGUGUAGGUGAAGUCCCUGCGGAUGGAGCUGAGACCAGUCGAAGAUACCAGCUGGCUGCAACUGUUUAUUAAAAACACAGCACUGUGCAAACACGAAAGUGGACGUAUACGGUGUGACGCCUGCCCGGUGCCGGAAGGUUAAUUGAUGGGGUUAUCCGUAAGGAGAAGCUCUUGAUCGAAGCCCCGGUAAACGGCGGCCGUAACUAUAACGGUCCUAAGGUAGCGAAAUUCCUUGUCGGGUAAGUUCCGACCUGCACGAAUGGCGUAAUGAUGGCCAGGCUGUCUCCACCCGAGACUCAGUGAAAUUGAACUCGCUGUGAAGAUGCAGUGUACCCGCGGCAAGACGGAAAGACCCCGUGAACCUUUACUAUAGCUUGACACUGAACAUUGAGCCUUGAUGUGUAGGAUAGGUGGGAGGCUUUGAAGCGUGGACGCCAGUCUGCGUGGAGCCAACCUUGAAAUACCACCCUUUAAUGUUUGAUGUUCUAACGUUGGCCCCUUACCGGGGUUGCGGACAGUGUCUGGUGGGUAGUUUGACUGGGGCGGUCUCCUCCCAAAGCGUAACGGAGGAGCACGAAGGUUAGCUAAUCCUGGUCGGACAUCAGGAGGUUAGUGCAAUGGCAUAAGCUAGCUUGACUGCGAGCGUGACGGCGCGAGCAGGUGCGAAAGCAGGUCAUAGUGAUCCGGUGGUUCUGAAUGGAAGGGCCAUCGCUCAACGGAUAAAAGGUACUCCGGGGAUAACAGGCUGAUACCGCCCAAGAGUUCAUAUCGACGGCGGUGUUUGGCACCUCGAUGUCGGCUCAUCACAUCCUGGGGCUGAAGUAGGUCCCAAGGGUAUGGCUGUUCGCCAUUUAAAGUGGUACGCGAGCUGGGUUUAGAACGUCGUGAGACAGUUCGGUCCCUAUCUGCCGUGGGCGCUGGAGAAUUGAGGGGGGCUGCUCCUAGUACGAGAGGACCGGAGUGGACGCAUCACUGGUGUUCGGGUUGUCAUGCCAAUGGCACUGCCCGGUAGCUAAAUGCGGAAGAGAUAAGUGCUGAAAGCAUCUAAGCACGAAACUUGCCCCGAGAUGAGUUCUCCCUGAGACUUUAAGUCUCCUGAAGGAACGUUAAAGACGAUGACGUUGAUAGGCCGGGUGUGUAAGCGCAGCGAUGCGUUGAGCUAACCGGUACUAAUGAACCGUGAGGCUUAACCUUACAACGCCGAAG
rnacentral:rRNA from 2 species